CCACAGAUUAGGAAGAGGAAGAGAAAGAGUUUGAUAAUCCUCCUUCAACUGCUCGUCCCUGCACGUGAGAGAAAUGAAUUAGAGAAGUUUAUGCAAAUUUAGAAUGUCUAGGAUUUUGAAACCUCUCUGCUUAAGAGGCAGUGAUAUUACUUUCCUCAGUCCCAAAAACUCCUAAAGGUGAUGAUCCCAAACCCUCACUCCUCUCACCAAGACUCAAAAAAUGUUAGUGGAUAAGAGGAAUUUGUCAUGGAGAUGUAGGAACAUGUGAUAGGGCAUGUGAAAGUUGAAGGGAAGUCAAAAAUCCUUAGGUUGAUGGAAUUGAGGAACUGCAAUGGCACGUGAUGCCCAUUAGGAAUGAAGAGAAGUGAUCAUUGGUACUGGAAAAUGCAGCAUA